UUCAGUCAACUCGUUCAUCCGUCUGGGUCUUUCGUUCACUCGGUCUUUCGUUCAACUCGUUCAUCCGUCUGGAUCUUUCGUUCACUCGGUCUUUCGUUCAACUCGUUCAUCGGUCUGGGUCUUUCGUUCACUCGGUCCGUCGUUCAACUCGUUCAUCGGUCUGGGUCUUUCGUUCACUCGGUCUUUCGUUCAACUCGUUCAUCGGUCUGGAUCUUUCGUUCAACUCGGUCUUUCGUUCAUUUGACCCGUUCUUUCAGUCAACUAGGUCUUUCGUUCAUUUGACCCGUUCUUUCAGUCAACUAGGUCUUUCGUUCAUUUGACCCGUUCUUUCAGUCAACUAGGUCUUUCGUUCAUUUGACCCGUUCUUUCAGUCAACUCGGUCAUUCCGGUCUUUCAG